CGUUGAAACAUUGGUUCUCGUGCGAUUACUGAAGUUAAGCAACGUCAAGCUGGUUAGUACCAAGAUGGGUGACCUCUUGGGAAUACCAGAGACUGUAA